UACGUAGAGCGCAAGCGUUAUCCGGAAUUAUUGGGCGUAAAGAGCUCGUAGGCGGUUCGUCGCGUCGGCUGUGAAAUCCCGAGGCUCAACCUCGGGUCUGCAGUCGAUACGGGCGGACUGGAGUACUGCAGGGGAGACUGGAAUUCCAGGUGUAGCGGUGAAAUGCGUAGAUAUCUGGAGGAAUACCGGUGGCGAAGGCGGCAUCCUGGACCGACAUUGACGCUGAACGGCGAAAGCUAGGGGAGCAAACGGG
rnacentral:rRNA from 1 species